GAAUUCUCCUUGUGGUACCAAACAGAUAGAGGAUAAUGGGAAAAAGACAAUGAUUGAUGACUUGGGGAUAGUCACUUAAUGUUGCUUUUAUUCACAGAUCAAGUGAUAAGUGAGCCAUUGACAGGGGAAAAAAGGAGGAGCAGUAAAAAAUAAAUUUCAGUUCCAAAUUUCUACGUUUGAACAAAAUUCCGAUUUCCGGAAAUAUUUUCUAUUUUCAGGAAAAAUGGGUCGAUUCAUCUCACCGUGUGCAAGUCUAGAACAUGCUAGUAAUAGAC